CGCUCACUUAUAUAUUCCAUUGUACUAAAAUGUAAAAAUGGACCACAGAAUAUUUGGAUGUUACUGCUCUGAACACAGAUUUUAUUCUGCCGUCUUUGAUGUUGACCAAACUUUGCAUAUUUGAAUUCAACACUUCUAUUUUACAAUUAUUUUUGUAAUGAAAUACUGCCCAGUUAUUUCAACAGCAACUGUUACUUUUUUGCAGAAUAUAUCAUGAGUGGUUUACAAUGUUUGUUUUCUUCUAAGCUGCUAAACCUUACCGGACACAUGCACAGAUCAGGAAAAAAAAUUGGAGGGAGGCAAACCAAAGGAAGCAAUUAAAAAAAAAUUAUUAAAAAAAAAAGAAAAAGAAAACCUUGCCCUUGGAUCUCAAUUUGGAGAAAAAGUUCAACUGUCUAGCAUUAACCUGCUCUUCUUGCAAAUAUAAUCCCAUCACAAACAAUAAUGACCAGUUAAAUUUUACGAGGCAGGGACAGACUGGUCAAAUCCAGUUAAACUAGUUAAAGCAGUGCAGGAAGGCACAUAUAGGAAGCUCGGGGAAUUUUUGCUGAAUUAACAUGCCGUUUUACUAUACAUCAGCCUCAAUACCUCAUUCAUGUGUUCACUUUUACCACACCUGGCACCUGUUCAAGCCAUUCCUUACUAUUCUGAAUGAUAUGAAUGCUGCGUUACAACAUGACAUCAGCAUUCAAGCUUUAAAACAAUGAACAGAUUAUACCUUUAGUUACCUUUAGUCAUUUUAAGUCAACAGCAUACCGUUUUUGUUUUCAACAUUUUUAUUACUUGUUAACAUGGUUUUAACACCAUUAAUUGUAUACAGUACUUGUGUAAAAUGUAGCAAGAAAACAAGGCCUCAGUACAAUGUGUGAAUGUUCAAAGGCACAUCCAUAAGCAUACAUUCAAACGACAGACCGCAAUCUGACAUGCUGUUUAGAGUUCAAACAAAUUUGCUUUAUGAAUUUCCAUUUGCCAAAGUUCAAGCUGCUUUGUAAAAUGAACAGGACAAACAUCUCAUAAUUUGGUAAUGCUAUGUGAAAUAGUAGAGCAAACUGAAUCAGCUUUGACCCUGA